rnacentral:rRNA from 1 species
CGUUUUCCCGUGUAAACUUAGCAUAUCAAUAAGCGGAGGAAAAGAAACCAACAGGGAUUACCUCAGUAACGGCGAGUGAAGCGGUAAUAGCUCAAAUUUGAAAUCUGGCUUCGGUCCGAGUUGUAAUUUGUAGAAGAUGCUUCGGGUGUGGCUCCGGUCUAAGUUCCUUGGAACAGGACGUCAUAGAGGGUGAGAAUCCCGUAUGUGACUGGGUGCCUCCGCCUAUGUGAAGCUCUUUCGACGAGUCGAGUUGUUUGGGAAUGCAGCUCAAAAUGGGUGGUAUAUUUCAUCUAAAGCUAAAUAUUGGCCAGAGACCGAUAGCGCACAAGUAGAGUGAUCGAAAGAUGAAAAGCACUUUGGAAAGAGAGUUAAACAGUACGUGAAAUUGUUGAAAGGGAAGCGUUUGCAAUCAGACUUGCACGUUGCCGAUCAUCUGGUGUUCUCACCAGUGCACUCGGUUUCGUUCAGGCCAGCAUCGGUUUGGGUGGUUGGAUAAAGGCCUUGGGAAUGUAGCUUCUUUCGGGGAGUGUUAUAGCCCUCGGUGCAAUGCAGCCUACCUGGACCGAGGACCGCGCUUCGGCUAGGAUGCUGGCGUAAUGAUUGUAAACGACCCGUCUUGAAACACGGACCAAGGAGUCUAACAUCUAUGCGAGUAUUUGGGUGUUAAACCCAUAUGCGUAAUUAACGUGAACGGAGGUAAGAGCCCUUAAGGGUGCAUUAUCGACCGGUCCUGAUGUCUUCGGAAGGAUCUGAGUAAGAGCAUAGCUGUUGGGACCCGAAAGAUGGUGAACUAUGCCUGAAUAGGGUGAAGCCAGAGGAAACUCUGGUGGAGGCUCGCAGCGGUUCUGACGUGCAAAUCGAUCGUCAAAUUUGGGUAUAGGGGCGAAAGACUAAUCGAACCAUCUAGUAGCUGGUUCCUGCCGAGUCUCCCCCUCCCAGGAGUAUA